CACCACUUUCCUUUAGCAAAAAGCUAGGUACCAAAAUGAUUGUGGUGACGCCAAACACAGUACAACUUUAGUAAUGAUAAAGACAUGAUUUCACUACUUUCCAUGCAGAGAUGUUAUGGUAUUUGAGGACUGCCAUAAAGUGGUUUAUUCACUACAACCAAAUUGCAAUAUUUAGACCAUAAUAUCUGCAUUGUAUUCUACAAGUGAACUAUUUUUGCAGUUGGUGCAUUUUGGCCUACAUUUAGUAUCUCAGGAACUAACUAAUUAAAUACAACUGCUUGUACAGAAAAUGCACAACAAAUACACUCUUGUCUCUUCCCCGCUCUCAAAGCCAUAAGCUAUAUUUUUAAGAUCCCAAUGCUUCUCAGAUUUAAUUUGUGAAUGGUAAAAAACAUUUCAGAAAUAAUUGUAGACUUUUUCCUUCAAUGUCAUUUCAUCUAUCAACAUCACAAUAUAAUCAUAUAUAAACAUGUCCAAAAUAGUUUAACAAUACAUGAACAGUUGGCCUGUUAAUGGGAGCCUCCAUGUCUAAUACACAUCAAACUAUUUUUAUUUGCAUAUAUAUUUUUUCCCCAAUUAUGUUUAGAUCUGUGGAAUUAUGCCAGCCAAACUAUGGUAAUUGGUUCAGGC